rnacentral:rRNA from 1 species
AGUGAACGCUGGCGGUAGGCCUAACACAUGCAAGUCGAACGGCAGCACAGUAAGAGCUUGCUCUUACGGGUGGCGAGUGGCGGACGGGUGAGGAAUACAUCGGAAUCUACUUUUUCGUGGGGGAUAACGUAGGGAAACUUACGCUAAUACCGCAUACGACAUACGGGUGAAAGCAGGGGAUCUUCGGACCUUGCGCGAUUGAAUUAGCCGAUGUCGGAUUAGCUAGUUGGCGGGGUAAAGGCCCACCAAGGCGACGAUCCGUAGCUGGUCUGAGAGGAUGAUCAGCCACACUGGACCUGAGACACGGUCCAGACUCCUACGGGAGGCAGCAGUGGGGAAUAUUGGACAAUGGGCGCAAGCCUGAUCCAGCCAUACCGCGUGGGUGAAGAAGGCCUUCGGGUUGUAAAGCCCUUUUGUUGGGAAAGAAAAGCAGCAGGUUAAUCCCCCGCUGUUCUGACGGUACCCAAAGAAUAAGCACCGGCUAACUUCGUG